UAGAGUUUGAUCCUGGCUCAGGAUGAACGCUGGCGGCGUGCUUAACACAUGCAAGUCGAACGGUGAAGCCCAGCUUGCUGGGUGGAUCAGUGGCGAACGGGUGAGUAACACGUGAGCAACCUGCCCCUGACUCUGGGAUAAGCGCUGGAAACGGCGUCUAAUACUGGAUAUGUGACGUGACCGCAUGGUCUGCGUCUGGAAAGAAUUUCGGUUGGGGAUGGGCUCGCGGCCUAUCAGCUUGUUGGUGAGGUAAUGGCUCACCAAGGCGUCGACGGGUAGCCGGCCUGAGAGGGUGACCGGCCACACUGGGACUGAGACACGGCCCAGACUCCUACGGGAGGCAGCAGUGGGGAAUAUUGCACAAUGGGCGCAAGCCUGAUGCAGCAACGCCGCGUGAGGGAUGACGGCCUUCGGGUUGUAAACCUCUUUUAGCAGGGAAGAAGCGAAAGUGACGGUACCUGCAGAAAAAGCGCCGGCUAACUACGUGCCAGCAGCCGCGGUAAUACGUAGGGCGCAAGCGUUAUCCGGAAUUAUUGGGCGUAAAGAGCUCGUAGGCGGUUUGUCGCGUCUGCUGUGAAAUCCCGAGGCUCAACCUCGGGCCUGCAGUGGGUACGGGCAGACUAGAGUGCGGUAGGGGAGAUUGGAAUUCCUGGUGUAGCGGUGGAAUGCGCAGAUAUCAGGAGGAACACCGAUGGCGAAGGCAGAUCUCUGGGCCGUAACUGACGCUGAGGAGCGAAAGGGUGGGGAGCAAACAGGCUUAGAUACCCUGGUAGUCCACCCCGUAAACGUUGGGAACUAGUUGUGGGGUCCAUUCCACGGAUUCCGUGACGCAGCUAACGCAUUAAGUUCCCCGCCUGGGGAGUACGGCCGCAAGGCUAAAACUCAAAGGAAUUGACGGGGACCCGCACAAGCGGCGGAGCAUGCGGAUUAAUUCGAUGCAACGCGAAGAACCUUACCAAGGCUUGACAUAUACGAGAACGGGCCAGAAAUGGUCAACUCUUUGGACACUCGUAAACAGGUGGUGCAUGGUUGUCGUCAGCUCGUGUCGUGAGAUGUUGGGUUAAGUCCCGCAACGAGCGCAACCCUCGUUCUAUGUUGCCAGCACGUAAUGGUGGGAACUCAUGGGAUACUGCCGGGGUCAACUCGGAGGAAGGUGGGGAUGACGUCAAAUCAUCAUGCCCCUUAUGUCUUGGGCUUCACGCAUGCUACAAUGGCCGGUACAAAGGGCUGCAAUACCGCGAGGUGGAGCGAAUCCCAAAAAGCCGGUCCCAGUUCGGAUUGAGGUCUGCAACUCGACCUCAUGAAGUCGGAGUCGCUAGUAAUCGCAGAUCAGCAACGCUGCGGUGAAUACGUUCCCGGGUCUUGUACACACCGCCCGUCAAGUCAUGAAAGUCGGUAACACCUGAAGCCGGUGGCCUAACCUUUUUGGAGGGAGCCGUCGAAGGUGGGAUUGGUAAUUAGGACUAAGUCGUAACAAGGUAACCGUAA
rnacentral:rRNA from 1 species